CGCAUCUGUGCAUGCAGCAUAUCAAUAAGCGGAGGAAAAGAAACUAACAAGGAUUCCCCUAGUAACGGCGAGUGAAGCGGGAAGAGCUCAAAUUUGAAAUCUUAAAGGGUUUCCCUUUACGAAUUGUAGUUUAAAGAAGUGUUUUCUGUUGAGGUUUUGGUAAAAGUUCUUUGGAAUAGGACAUCAUAGAGGGUGAGAAUCCCGUAUUUGACCUUUACUUUCAACUUUGUGAUACACUUUCAAAGAGUCGGAUUGUUUGGGAAUGCAGUCCAAAAUGGGUGGUAAAUUUCAUCUAAAGCUAAAUAUUGGCGAGAGACCGAUAGCGAACAAGUACCGUGAGGGAAAGAUGAAAAGAACUUUGAAAAGAGAGUUAAACAGUACGUGAAAUUGUCAAAAGGGAAGCGUUUGACACCAGUGUUGUUUUUCUGAAAAUCAAUUAAAGAACUGUUUAUGCUAAGCUUGUUUAGACUUUAUCAGCUAAUCUGUUUAGUUUUGAGCUUUUCUUUAAUGCACUUUUCAGUUAACAAGUCAACAUCAAUUUCUUUUGCUGUAAAAAAGCUUGAGGAAGGUGGCUUGAGAUUCGUCUUAAGUGUUUAUAGCCUCUUGCCUAUGCAGUCGGAGAGAUUGAGGUCUGCAGCGUAGAUCCUUCGGGGCUAAAUGCAUUUGUGCUAAGUUAUAGCAUUUUAUAGACAACUUGUUGACUAUGAUUUGUCUUGUAGCUUACUCGCUUAUGUUAUUUUACCUACGCUUAGGAUGUUGACAGCAGUAUAGACUGU
rnacentral:rRNA from 1 species